CAAAAGUAAGAGAAAUUUAAAAAAGUGUAACAUAUCAAAAUGUGGAAAUUUCUGUGUUUAGGGAAAAAUCUAUCCCAUUAAGAGCUUGCAUUAGAAAAGAAAAAUUACCUUGAAAUUAUGAUGAAAGCUUCCAGCUUGUUAUUAUAAAAAUGAGAACAAAUUAAUUCUGAAGCAAUCAGAAGGAAGAAAAUAAUAAAGGUUAAUGAAGAAAUAAACAACAUUAAAUGGAGAAAAAUUAUAUAGCUAAGUAAAUUAAACUAAACUUAGAUCUUUGAAGGGAUCAAUAAAAUUGUUAAAUCUCUGGCCAGACUAAGGAGAAAAUAAUAGGAAAUAAAUAAUUUACAAAUUUUAAGAAUGAUAGAAGUGGCUGGGGGUGGUGGCUCAUGCCUGUAAUCCCAGCACUUUGGGAGGCCAAGGCAGGCAGAUCGUUUGAGGUCAGGAGUUCCAGACCAGCCUGGCCAACAUAGUGAAUCUCUGUCUCUACUAAAAAUACAAAAAUUAGCCGAACGUGAUGGCUCAUGCCUAUAUUCCCAGCUACUCGAGAGGCUGAGGCACAAGAAUUGCUUGAAGCUGGGAGGUGGAAUUUGCAGUGAGUGGAGAUCAGGCCACUGCACUCAAGCCCGGGCGACAGAACGGGACUCUGUCUCAAAACAAAUAAACAAAAAAAAAAGAAUGAUAGAAGUAACAUUUCCAUUGUCCUACAACAGUUUAAGGAUAACUAAAUGAAUACCAUGAUGAAAUUUAUAAAUGUAAAUUAGUUAAUUUAGAUUAAAUGUACAAAUCCCUCAAAAGAGACUAACUACUAAGGCAAACUCAAAAAGAAAGCAAUAACAUGAACAUCCCUAUAUAUAUGUUUUAAAUUUAUUAAUACCCACCUAGAUAAACUAACUGACAAAUUUUACUAAUAUUUAAGGAGAUAUAAUUUAUACUUUACACAAAACUUUAAGAAAUAAAAAAGAGGAAACACUUUUCAACAUGUUUUAUUAGUCUACCAUUAUCCCCAUACCAAAACCUUAAAAAAGACAUUACAAGAAAAUGUCCUGUAGACAAAUAUGUAUUUAGAUGAGGAAUUUAGAUUUCAAAAACUUCAGCAAACUAUUAUCCAAUUAAAUCCUCUCAUGUCUGUGUGUGUAUGUGUGUGCAUGCAUGUGUGUUUGUAAAAUAUAUCAUUACUAAUUGGCGUUUAUCUUGGGAGUUCAAGAUGGUUUCCAUAUUCAAUCAACCCAUCAAUGUGGACUAUGGUCAUUUGAAAAGACCAGCAAAUCCUCUACACAAAAGGCCACUAUAAAUUCAUUAAAACAGCCUUCCAUCACUCUCGAAAUUGACCAAAGCAUUCAACUACCUGAAAAAUAUUUAUGUUUGGAAAGCUAUUGAAAUGCAGUUAAAAAUAUCAGGAAACCUGUUUUUACGUUUUGUCCUGAUCUUGCUAAAUCCUUCUUAAUUUUGUGAGACACUGCUUCUCCUUCCACUGUUCCUUUACUUUCUCCUUCCCCUUUGUUUUUGCCUCCCCCUUCCUCUCCCUUUUCUACAUUCCUUCUCUCUCCUAAAUGCUGUAUAAAUUUCUACAUAUAUAAUCAUAUUAUUUACAAAUAGGAACAGUUUUACUUAUUUCUUUCCAAUCUGCAUUUAUUUUAUUCUCCCUUUUUUUCCUUACACACUGGAUAGAACUCUAAGUAUUAUGUUGAAAAAGAGUGAUAAAAGCAAACAUUUUUGCUUUAUUCCUGAGCAUACAUGUGGAAAACAUUCAGUGUUUCACAGCUAAAUAUGAUGGAUUUUUUUGUAUGCUCUUUAUCAAGAUGAAGGAAUUUUCUGCUAUUUCUGGUUUGCUGAAUUUUUAUCACAAGUAACUGUUGAAUAUUGUCUUUUUCCCCUGCAUUUAUUGAAAUGAUCAUGUGUUUUCCUAUUUUAGAAUAUUAAUAUGGUGAACUAUAUUAUUAGAUUUUUUUAAAUAUUGAAACUGUCUUGCAUUUCUGGAAUAAACACGGCUUGGUCAUGUGUGUCACUUUUUUACAUAGUGUCGUAUUCAAGUUAUUGAGGAUUUUGCAUCUAGGGUAUACUUGUAGAUUUGCAGAUUUGCAUCUAGGUUAUGUUGGUCUAAAGUUUUGUUUGUUUUUUUUCCUUUUCUUUUUUUAUCAUCUUUGUCUUAUUCUGUUUAAGUGUCAUGCUUGCUUCAUAAAAUGAAUUGAGAAACAUUUCUUCCUCUUCUGUUUCUCGAAAAUUGUAGAGAACUCUUGUUUUUUGUUGUUGUUUGUUUGUUGUUUUGUUUUUUUCUUAUUUUUAUCCUCAUACUGAGAACCAAAUAGUCUGGAGUGUAAAAUAUGGUUCCUCAUUCCAGUUAAGUCUAGUACACAAUGACAACAACCAUCUUGGGUUAAGCAUUGGCCUACAAACAGAAAAAAACCUUCAGGGAGAUAGAUGCUGAUCUAGGCAUUGUGAGAAAAGCUGAAUUCAUUUUUAAUCAUGAAUGGCUUUUAAGGAAAGAAGAUUUAUUAACUAAAAUAAAUAGAUUAGAGGGAAUUCUCAUCUAUGAGAGAGGAAGGGAUGGGAUUCAACCUGGAAAAAAUGAUGAAGUUUUAGUGAACUGGGUAAGGUAGACUCAACAAUUAAUGAUGGAUAAUGCUAGGACCCAGCACCGGUAAUGAGCUUGUAUUAUGACUCAAUAGCAUCACUUUAUCACUUUAACGCAGAUGGAGGCCUAAAUAACCAUAGGGCAAUGGUUCUUCUUAGAUGCAGAAGGACACAUUUAUAUAAUCUUAGGGACCCCAUCUCUGAGGUCACUCAUAAUUUAUAUUAAUUCAUUAUUAUUGCCAUUGCCCCAAGAAUAGAUAAGGAUAAGACAUCCUGUAGCACAGGUAGCAGAGAUAUAAACUAUUCUUAUUCUUGUGUCUUGUCUAUAGGAAGGGAGUGUAUCCUGGUGUAUGACAGCAUAUAGUAGAGACCAGUGUCAAUUAGGGCCUGUGAACUGAGACAGGGUGACUGGCUAAGUCCACAACCCAUUAGAAACCCAGAAAUAAUCAAAUCAUGGUGAGUAGUAAUAAUACUUAUUUAUAGUACUGUACGGUAUAAAGACAAGAACCAAUUAUGUUGAGUAGCUGUAACAAAUAGCUCUAUCGUUCUUAAUAACUUUUUCUGUAAUAAAACUGAAUUGUAACAUGACCAUACUGCAAUAUGACAUUACACUGGUAUUGUUGGUAAGAUUCAACUAUCUUAUGUAGAGAAGUUAUAUAAUGCUUAUAUUGAUAAUCAAAUGUAUUAAGAUAUUGAGUUAAAGCCUCUUCAGAAUGUAAUCUGGGUGAAUAAUAAAUGGCCUGAGAAAACAGAAUUUAGCUAACCAUUAUCUAAUUUCAAUGCUAAAUAGUUCUGCACAGAUUUAUCAAAAGGUAAAAAUAAAAGCAAAUUGAGAGGAGGAAUGAGUAAUUUGGUUUGUACAAAAUAUUAAAGUGUAUGUAAUGGCCUUGUAGGAUGCAUUAGUAAUUUUUAAAAAUCAAUCUUUACCCUACACUGUGUCCAUAAAAUGCUAGGCAUAUUCAUGUUAAUAUUACUGUUGUUACUGUCAUAUAAAUGCUGUACUCAAUGUAGAUGCUCAGAAAAAUAUGCUUGUUUUGCUACAGGAGAGAUUAGUCCAGGGACAAUAAAUAUGGAUUAGGGAAGAAUGUGUUAACUCAGCAGGCCAGGGUUUCUUCAACCCUGCACAUUCAAAGAGGGAUCAUGGAAAGGAAGCUGAAUUUGCUGAGUUUUGCCACGUGGGCAUUGCAUGCCUAUGUGAUUAACCACCAAUAAAAACCUGGGACAUCAAAAAAUAAAUAAGCUGCUUUAAUUGCCAAGAAUUCACAUGUGGUUGUAUGCAGCAUUACUGGGAGAUUGAAGUGUAUCUGCAUGUGAUUCUACUGUGAUGGACACUUGUAAAUUUGUGCCUGGAGUCUCCUGGAAUUUGCCCUGAGAAUCUUUUUCCUUUGUUGAUAAGAAUCUGCAUCCUUUUGUUUUAAUAAACGAUAAACAUGAGUAUAAUUGCUUCUCUGAGUUCUGAGAGUUUUUUAAAUAAAUAAUCAAAGCUGAAAAGCAAUGGAGACCCCCACCAAAACAUCUUUACACAUUUCAAUUUUGUAUUGAAGUAAAUUUUAUUUUCUUUUUUAUACCUCCCGUAUAUAUUCUAUUUUUCUCAUUAUUAUUUAUUUAUCCCAAAUCUUUUAUCUGUGAUCAUUUUCCUUUGUUUGAAAUUUGUCUUUUGAGAUUUCUUUAGAAGGUGCUUUUGGAUGAUAAAUUUUCUGUUAUUCUUUGUCUAAAAUGUCAUUAUUUUGACUCAUUUAUAAAAGGAGUUUUUGUGUUUUAUAAACCUCUAAUGUAUAGAAGUGUGUCUAAACUCAUUGAGGAUAUUUUCCAAAUUUUUUCCUGCUUUUUAUUGCUGUUGAUAAGAAAUCAGUGUUGGUAUUUUGACAUUUAAGUUAUGUGUCAUUUUGUUGUGGUAGUUCUGAAGAUCUUCCCUCUGUUUUAUAUUCUCCUUCACCUUUCAUAAAUGUACUUUAUAUUUAUUUGGUAAUAAAUUUUGAACAUAUACUAUGCUAUAAAGAUAAUCUAGGCCCUUUGGUUACAUCUCGUAAAUAAAAUCAACAAAAUCUGUUUUGAGAUUAUAUUGUAAUAUAAGAUACCCAAAGUAAAUAGGAUAUGUACCAUAUGUUUGAAGGUGGUAAAUACGAUGAGAAAAAUAGAUCAGGUCAGGAAGAAUGAAGAUGAUUGAAGGUACAGGUUAUGAUAAAAACUUAGGUGUGCCGAGGAAUGAAUUCAUCUUAUGUAUCUUGAGUGUAAUGUCUUAUUUCUCCUGAAUCUGAGAAUUUGAUGUCUUUCAUUAGGUAUGUCAGUGAAUUUCACUAAUG
rnacentral:lncRNA from 10 species